rnacentral:misc_RNA from 1 species
AAGAUUCUGACCUUCGGGUCUAACCUCUUCAGCUGUGCGCUUCGGCUGCACGCUGUUGAAUCUCUCACACCUGUGCACUAUUCGGUUGUGACUUGCUUAUGUGGGUCGCUUCCGCCUUUUAUAUUACACUACAGUCCAGAAUGUAUAAAACUAUAAAGUAA